GCCACGGUGGUCUAGCGGUUAGAACGCUGGCCUUGUAAUCCUGGGGUCUCGGGUUCGAUUCCCGGCCGUGCUC
rnacentral:tRNA from 1 species